AGAGUUUGAUCAUGGCUCAGGACGAACGCUGGCGGCGUGCUUAACACAUGCAAGUCGAACGAGAUCCAUGGUGUAGCAAUACACCGGAAGAUCUAGCGGCGAACGGGUGAGGAACACGUGAGAAACCUGCCCCAGACUCUGGGAUAACAAUUGGAAACGAUUGCUAAUACCGGAUGACGUCGGAGAACCGCAUGGUUCGCUGACGAAAGGAAUUCUGGUUUGGGAGGGUCUCGCGGCCUAUCAGCUUGUUGGUGGGGUAACGGCCUACCAAGGCUACGACGGGUAGCUGGUCUGAGAGGAUGAUCAGCCACACUGGGACUGAGACACGGCCCAGACUCCUACGGGAGGCAGCAGUGGGGAAUCUUGCGCAAUGGGCGAAAGCCUGACGCAGCAACGCCGCGUGCGGGAUGAAGGCUUUCGGGCUGUAAACCGCUUUCAGCAGGAACGAAACUGACGGUACCUGCAGAAGAAGGAGCGACCAACUACGUGCCAGCAGCCGCGGUGACACGUAGGCUCCAAGCGUUGUCCGGAUUUAUUGGGCGUAAAGAGCUCGUAGGCGGUUGAGUAAGUCGGGUGUGAAAACUCUGGGCUUAACCCGGAGACGCCACUCGAUACUGCUCUGACUUGAGUUCAGGAGGGGAGUGGGGAAUUCCUAGUGUAGCGGUGAAAUGCGCAGAUAUUAGGAGGAACACCGGCGGCGAAGGCGCCACUCUGGACUGAAACUGACGCUGAGGAGCGAAAGCAUGGGUAGCAAACAGGAUUAGAUACCCUGGUAGUCCAUGCCGUAAACGGUGGGCACUAGGUGUGGGUUCCAACUAACGGGAUCCGCGCCGUCGCUAACGCAUUAAGUGCCCCGCCUGGGGAGUACGGUCGCAAGACUAAAACUCAAAGGAAUUGACGGGGGCCCGCACAAGCAGCGGAGCGUGUUGCUUAAUUCGAUGCUACGCGAAGAACCUUACCUGGGGUUUGACAUGUUUGGGAAAAGCCACAGAGAUGUGGUGUCCGUAAGGGCCAACACCAGGUGGUGCAUGGCCUGUCGUCAGCUCCGUGUCGUGAGA
rnacentral:rRNA from 1 species